GAUGAACGCUGGCGGCGUGCCUAAUACAUGCAAGUCGAGCGAACGGACGAGAAGCUUGCUUCUCUGAUGUUAGCGGCGGACGGGUGAUGAACACGUGGAUAACCGACCUAUAAGACUGGGAUAACUUCGGGAAACCUGAUCUAAUAUCGGAUAAUAUUGUGAACCGCAUGGUUCAUAGGUGAAAGACGGUCUUGCUGUCACUUAUAGAGGGAUCCGCGCUGCAUUAGCUAGUUGGUAAGGUAACGGCUUACCAAGGCAACGAUGCAUAGCCGACCUGAGAGGGUGAUCGGCCACACUGGAACUGAGACACGGUCCAGACUCCUACGGGAGGCAGCAGUAGGGAAUCUUCCGCAAUGGGCGAAAGCCUGACGGAGCAACGCCGCGUGAGUGAUGAAGGUCUUCGGAUCGUAAAACUCUGUUAUUAGGGAAGAACAUAUGUGUAAGUAACUGUGCACAUCUUGACGGUACCUAAUCAGAAAGCCACGGCUAACUACGUG
rnacentral:rRNA from 1 species